AAUUUAAUAUCGCGUGUGAUUAAAUUAUAAGGCGUGGGGGAGGGGAGCUCUGCGCCGCCUCGGCAGCCCAGCCGACGCCGACUAGCCAGCGGGUAGGGGCUGCGCGCUGAGCCGGCUCUUCCCGUGCACAGUGCCCGGCGAGGCUCGGCGAGCUGCGGGUCGGCGCCUUCCCAAGGCAGAGUCUCACUGUUUUCCAGUUUGGCCUCAAAUCCCUGGGGCUCUAGAGAUCCUCUCACCUCAGUCUCCUGAGACGCUGGGACUACCGGUGUGCACCACUGAACCUGGCUAACGACAGGGAAACCUGGACACACACAGGGACAUCAGGGAUGCCCUCGCACAGAGAAAAAAGCCAUGUGGAGAGGCAGCAAGAAGAUGGCCAUCUGCAACCCAAGGAGAGAGGAGGCCUCAGAAGAAGCCAGACUUGCCUCUGACUUUCAGCCUGUGGACUGUGAGAAAUAAACUUCUGAUGU